UGGAAGUUGUUCACAGUUGCCACAUGCUAUUAGCUUCAUCUCUACUAGAUUCGGUAGCAUCAAGUUCAAGUUCAUCAUCCACUUUGGAAAUUUUGAACCCCCAUAUCCAAUUAAUCUCAAUUCCUUCAGAUUUGAAUGAGGUUGAAGCCCAUCAAGGACAUCCUCAUUAUUUUCAGCUGAUUGCACACAAGUAAAAGGGCGGCGACCUCCAUUCUCAUUCCAACAUAAAUUCAGUGAUAGAAGAGUUGUCUUCAACAUCAAAUUGGCACUUCUGGCAUCUGUUAAAUUCUUAACAUUAACAAGAUCUGUGAUGCUUAGUUCACCAGCAAGAUUAUUCAGCCUUUCUAGCUCCCCUAAGUGACGACCAUCCUCCUUACCCACAAUGAACAGCCCAAGUUUUCGCAGGCAUGUUAAUUGCCCCAUUCCAAAUGGCAUAAAUCGAAGUGAAUGACAGCCCGUGAUGUCAAGAUAGAUGAGACUUUCCAUAUGCUUCAUACCUCUAGGUAAUUCGAUGAGCAGUGUACAAUGACUCAGAUUUAGUGUCUGAAGAUUUUGGAGGGAGGUGAUUGAUGCAGGCAAUUUUUCAAUGUGGGAAUAGGAGACAUCUAGAAACCUUAGAUGUUUCAAAUAACAAAUUGACUUUGGCAAUGUAUUGAGAUGGAUACCUAUAUGCAAGGCUCUCAGAUGCUUUUGUUGGGUGAAAUAAAGAUGCAAAUCAUCACUCACAAGGCGUGUGUGAUGAUAAACUCCAGAAAGCAAAAUUGAGCGUAGAGACCUAGAUUUGAAAUCCUUGUCUUCUGGAACAAACUGUGAUGUCCUGUAUGCACCCACAUGACGAAUUGUUUUAGGAAUUUGCAACUUUGUAUUGCCCUCAAUCAAACAACAUUCUCUCUUCAUAAUGUACUGUGCAAGAUCAUGGAUAAGAUCGUGCAUUUUACAUGUCAUGUAGCCCAGCGCAUCAUCCCUGACUUCUUGAAAAAAAGACCUCCCAACUAAUUCGUGGAAAAUCUCUUCACCCUUAUCGUGCAAAUCCAUUUGCCCAGUGCUCGAAAUGAAGCCAUUUGCCAUCCAUAGAGCUACCAACCGCUCCUUCCGAAUGACAUAAUCUUUGGGGAAUAUAGAGCAAAAUGCAAAGCAUUGCUUCACAGCUGGCUUUAGAUUCAUAUAACUCAAACUCAAGGCAGGUAAUAAUAUCUGGCUUCCUUCAUUUGGCAGAUCCCAAAUCUCACUUUCUUUGACAGACAGCCACUCCCUUUCACUUUUCUUCGAGCGCAUCAGGCUUCCGACUGCUCUUAUAGCCAACGGAACUCCGCUACACUUCUUAACUAUCGCUGCUCCAAUGUUUUCCAAGUGACCGUACUCCUCUCUCCUUCUCAUACCAAAUGCAAGCAGCUUAAAUAAAAGCCAGGAAUCCUCAUCCGACAAUGUUUCCAUAUGUUGAACAGGAUUUGUGGCCAUUUUUUCAGCCAUAGUUCCCAAACGAGUAGUCACAAUAACUGCACUUCCUUUAGCUCCACAGCUCAAUGCAUCUUUCAACUUGCUCCAGUUAUCAUGGUCAUCAUCCCAAACAUCAUCCAAUAUGAGCAAAAACUUCUUACCACGUAAAUUUUCUUGGAGGCAUCGUAGAAGAGCAUCCAACUGUGGAAUAUUUGCAGUAGUGCGUUGAAUGGACUCGAUGAUGGCUGUUGUCAAUCUUUUUAUGUUGAAAUCAACUGAUACGCACACCCAAAUCCGCAAAUCAAAAUGCCCUUCUAUUCUUCCGUCGUUGUAGACUAACUGAGCAAGUGUUGUUUUACCCAAGCCCCCCAUUCCACAUAUAGCAUAAACAGAGAAAUCAUCUGAACUGGUGAGCAGCAUGUUGACCAGAUCUUCUUUCUCCUUGCCCCUUCCAUAAAUUCCUGAUUCAUCCACCCAUGACCAAGUCUGACGCCAAUCAAAACUAUCUGCUUCUAUCUCCAAAGCCCCUUCAAUUAAAUGGAAAUCGUGUCUCCCCUUGGCAAUGCGAUCUAGUGUUUCUGUAACAUUCUUCAAUUUACGAGCCAUCCUUUGUCGAAAAACAAGAGGAUUAUGAUUGAUAGAAAAGAAGGAUCUUAGCCAAUUUUUGAGAUCUCUUCGCUGCUGAUGCCACUGAGCUUCAAAAGCAAACUCAUCCAGUACAUCAUCAACAACAUAAGCUGCAUCCUUGAGGUCGCUGAGCCACACCUUGAUAUGCUUACUCUUCCACUGCUUCUCCUCUGCAUCUUGCAGCACAGCUUGAAUGGUUAUGAACGUGCGCUUGAGAUUUUCAAGCUCGGUCGUUAGGCCCCUAGCAAGUCCAAGCUCUUGAAGAACUAGGGAAUUCAAGUUCCCCAUUAUUGUACUCGCGAGAGCAGAAAGAAUUGCAUCACCCAUGGCUUGUUUUGGAAUGGAAAAGAAGAAGUAGAAAAGGUGCAAGGAAAACUAAAAGCAGGGGAGGUGAGCAAGAAAUGGCAAGUAAAAAUUGAGAAGACAGCAGUAUGAGAUGAAAAAUGGAAAAGGCAAACAGCAGUCUCUGAUUAUAUUGAUUAGGCUCCACACGGUGCAGGCUUGACUUGGCUAUGCCUAUAAUAGUAUAAUAAAGCAAUUGAAGUUUCAGAGAAGGAACAUAGCUGUGAUUUCAAGCAACAUUUGUCAAUUAUCGCAUGCCUUUUCCUGUUUUAAACAGAAACGUGAUUAACGCUUUUGGCUGUGAAUUCUCAAGGGUAUUUUUCUUUUCAAUAUAUUCUCCAUUAGUUAGAACACAGUGCAAAAAGUUUUUCAUAAAUGUGUUUUAAUCCUCGGUUAGAGUUAAUUUAUUCUUAAUGACAGUAGAAUGACAUCAUAAUCACAACUAAUCUCAAAAACUUAUUUAAUCAACUUAAUAUUAAAUAAUAAAAUAAAAUAAAAAAUCGAGGUAAUCAAGCAACCCGCGACCUGGACAAAUUCCAACAGGAACACAAGAUUGGUUAUGUAAAAAAGAAGUGCAGAAGGACCAAAUAAUUGCUCACUCCGUGGAAUAAACAAAUAUUAGUCUAUCUUGGACAUGAAUAGAGAAAGGUUAUUAUAUUUUCAAAUAUUUGUGAUUUGAGAGUUGGGGUUCAAUUUUAUCAAAAUAUUAAAACCGCUGUCUUUUAACUACACUGAUUAGGCUCCACACGGUGCAGACUUGACGAACAUUGAAUGUCUGUAUUAAAGCAUUGAAGUUUCUGAGCAGCGACACGGCUGUGAUUCGAAGACAACAUCUGUCAACUUGAAUUUCCUUGUUGGUUACUAAACGUCUUCUUCCCGCGCUUGCCAACCCGCGUGGCUCUACACACUUAAAUUUUAAAGAAUUACAUUAGGCUCCACACGGUGCUGACUUAACUAGCCAUGCCUGUAUUAAAGCAAUUGAAGGUUCUGAGAACCAACACAGCUGUGAUUAGAAGACAACAUUCCACCUUGAUUUUUCUUUUCAAUUGAAGUUUUUGCUUGCUCAAAUAAUUUAUCUAUGCAAAAGUCAAAAUGUAUUUUUAUAACGAAAUAAUUACUUUCUCAAAUAAUUCUGAUUACAAAACUUUAAAUACCAUUGAAAAUGAUUUUUCAAUAAGAAAAAUGCAUACAUGCCUAGUUGCUCAUAUGCUAAUGUACUUAUCCACUACUGUGCUAAUUUGUGAAAUAUUUUUGUCUACUGCGUAUAGAAAAAAACUCUCAAAUUUCUCUUUGUUCUCUGUUGUACCAUCAAAAGAAAAAUCCAAAGUGAUAAUGCAACAUCCAAAAGUAUAAAAUAUGGUAUAAAAACCAAAUAAAAAAAUAAUAAUUAGGGAUUAAAUUAAAAAAUAAAAUAAAAUAAGAAAAAAAUUUAAAAAUAGCAAUAAAAAGAAUAAAAACUAUUAUUUAAUGAAGAAAUUAAAUGAAAUAAAAUAUUGAGAGUUAAAAAUAAAAAACAAUAAAUCAAGAAAAUAAUAAGAAAAAAGAAAUUAAAAGAAUAAUGAUAAAAUUUAAAUUAAAAAAUUUUAAAAAAUAAAAUGAUAAAGGAAAAAAUAAAUCAAGAAAAGAGUAAAUUAUAUUAAAAAAAAACAUUAAACAAAACAAGAAUUAAAUUAGAUACCAAAACUAAAUAAAAUAACUGACUGGGCUCUACACAGUGCAGACUUUGACUAUCUAUGCCAAUUGAAGUUUCAGAGAAGUAACAUGGCUAUGAUUCGAAGACAACAUUUAUGAACUUGAAUUAGCUUGUCGGUUAGUGAAUGUCUGUGUCCCGCACUGGCCAAUCCGCGUGGGUCUCACACGCCAGGCAUGAAAGACAAGAAUGCCUCAAUCAGAUGCAUGAACAUAAAAGAUGGAAGAAAAGAAAAGAUGGUGGAGUCCUUUAGGUGGGUCUCCACGAAGAAAUUAUGCAACCAAGAGGCAAUGUACCCUUCACUUUCAUAUCCAAAGAUCGCAAAAUAUCUGAUCAAAACUGUGAUCCAAUUUUGCCCGUGUGAGAUGGAGGAACUUCCCGGAGGAGGGAGGGUUUUUAGGCGAGUUAAGCAUCUCCAAUAGAGAUGUUAUUUUAAAAAGAUAAAUUGAUAAAAUAAUAUUUUAAAUAGUAUAAAUAUAACUUUUUUUACGAUGUAUAUUUUAAUAGAAAAAAGUUAUUUGAAAAACCAAUUCUAUUAUAAUAGAAUAAAUAAGUGUUUUAUAUUUUUUUAAUAAUUUUGAUGUUAUUUUUUUUCUACAUGGCUAGAUUUAAUUGAUUUUUUUUUUUUUGCCCCACUUGGUUAAUUUUGGCUUUUUUAAAAGAUAUAUAGGAAUAAUAUUUAUGGAAAAGAAAAGGUAUUUUAGCAUUUUAUUUAGCUUUUUCUUUGAAGUAUAAAAACAAAUAAAAAAAAACCAAAAUAUUAUUUUUUUAUUUUUAAAUAUUUAUUUAGCCUCUCCAUUGGAAAUGCUCUUAAGGUUUGGUUUCAUUGCUAUGGAGGAACUUCCCGGAUUCCGGCUACAAGCCUAUCUACCUAUCUUUAACUUGUCCUUGUGGGUGUGAGUUGUGACUUCUGCUUCCAACAUAUGGAUUGUGCUUUAUAUAAUUUUAUAAAGAUCCAAAAUUGCAUGAAAAAAAAUAAAAAAAAUAUAAAACUUUAAAGAGAGAAAUAAUUAAGCGUUGAAGAGACACCAUAAUUCUAUUAUAGGGAAACUCUCAUGUUACUCUCCAACUUGUAUAUCCAUUCUCAAUUACAUUUAAAACCUACGAAUUUUUUCAAUUAGGUUCCAAACAUUUCAAAAUAUUCUCAAUUAGUGUUUUUUUUUUUUUUUUGUCAACGUUGUCGGUAUUUUUGUCAAAUAUUCUUAAAACCGAUGUCUGUUUUAGAGCAUAAAUAUACAUAUUGGAUAUAAAAAAUAUGAAUACUCGUAAAAAACAGUUCCUCUAUUUUUAAAAGAUAAAUUAAUUAAAUUUUUUUUAAAAAUAAAUUACCUAGUUCAUUGACCAGGUUACUUUUUUUAUAAUAUUUAUUUAUUCAUUUCCUUUCUUCUAUUUUCUUUUUAAAAAAAACGUAAAUGAACAGAAAGGACUAAAUAUAUAUAUUUUUUUUUAAAUAACUAAUUACUUCAUUUCUCAAAACUAAAAGGACUUAGUUUUAUAAUUUAGACCACAAGGGUGCAUUGGAAACCUUGGACUCCAAGGGUGAGUCAUCUCCACGUACUAUUGAGGAUUAGGAUGAAUAUUGAAAGUGACCUUACCUGCAACACGUGGUCGUAUGGUCUUUCAAUUUCAGGUGACACAUGGGUCCCACAAACCAUCAUCAUUUUAUUUCAUUUUCCCCUGCCUUGUGGAGAGAAAAAGAAAACCAACCAAGUCUUCUUCCUCCCUCUCUCCAGGACAGGAAGCGGGACCCAAUCUCAAAUACCCAACCCAAUCCUAGCCGUUGAUUGUUUUUUUCCUGGAUUCCUACUCUCUCUAUCUAGCUAUCUACCUGAUCCAGCUGGAUUUAGCUGUUACAAACUGUAACAAUCAUAUUUCACCCGCUUGAGUUGAGCUUGAGCUAUCUACCUAGCUAAGCCGUCGAGCAGUAAUAUUCAAGCCGACUUGAAAUAUUAGCUGCCAUUACGAUUUCCGUCACCAGUCUAACAUCUAAUUAAUAACUUUAAUAAUCAUUCAUUUCAUAUAUUAAUAACAAUAACAAUAAUAAUAUUGUACUCAAAACUUAUAAAUAAAAUAAAAAUUUUGAAUUUUUAAAUCUUAUAUAAGAUAAUAAUUCUUAUUAAAUAAUUUCUUACCAUCAUAAUCAUUAUAUUAGCCACAAUAAAAAUUAUCGGAUCUAGACAGUUAGGCAUAACCUCGAGCCCAGCUCGAUUAUAAAAAAAUAUUUCAGCUUUCAUCGCCCACAAACCUCCCUCCCUCCCUCAUUUUUUAUGGUUUAAUUCUAUAAUACACUUCAAGCUAUUAGGACAAUAUUGAAUUUAUAUUUAAACUAUUUUAAUUAUAAUUAUUCCGAGUCAUGAGAUCAUAGGUUGCUACAACGCAAUUUUUCUAUGGACAAAAUUUAUUUUAUAGUGCCGGCGGGGUAUCUUUUGAAGUGUUCAUGUAUAAAUUUGAAGCAAAGUAAUGAAGAGACGUGAGACAAUGCAGUAGUGAAACAGAGUUAUUUAUUCAUACCUCUUUCUUAUGAAGAGACGUACAUGUGUAUAUAUAGAGUGGGAAAAACUUGCAGCAAGGAAAGACAAUCUUGCAUAUAUUUUCUCCCAUGAUUAUUGCUAAGAUUAUAUGUUAAUAGUAAAUACACAAUCAUAUCUAAACUAGAUAACAAGUACUUGAUGAGUUGUUGCCAAUGGUUAGGUUUAAGAGAAAAACAUGGCAGCUCCUCCUUUAUGGGUAUGCUAUAUAUAUACUUCAUCUAACCAACAAAAGAGAAGUAAUAUAUUUUUCUUUGCAGAUAUCUAGAGACAAAGUUCUUCUCUGCAGUGAAGCCAAUGUAGGGGAGACCUGUAACCCUGAUUUUUUUUUUUUAAUUAAUAUGGUUAUUCGGGUUAGCUUACGCCUACUUCGAUUAAUUCUAUUGCAUGAACCUUGAAAUUAAUAACUAUAUAAGUCUUCAAUAAUCUUGAAAAUAUUUAAAUUCAUGAUCAUUAAAGAAUAAACUCAAAAUUUAACUUGUUGAGUUACCCCUCAAGAUUUCUAAUACCCUGACUCUUGUUUACACACAAUGCCGGCGGUGAUAGUUAGGGGUGAUCAUUUUCGAUUUGGUUCGGUUUGAUUUUUAUUAAAAAAAAAUAAUCAAACCAAUUUUUUUUUUUUAAACCAAAACUAGUUCAAACCAACCGGUUUUGGUUCGGUUUUUUAGGACAAAAAGCCGGUUUGGCUCGGUUUUCUUGGUUUUGACUCAGUUUUUUCUGGUUUUGGCUCUGGUUUUUUGAUUUGGCUCGAUUUUUUCUGGUUUGGGUCCGGUUUGGUUUGGUUUUUUGGUUUUAGACUUAUAAAACCAAAACCAAACCAACUGAUUUUUUUAAAAUUUUAAUUAAUUUUUUUCACGAUUUAAUUUUUUCAAUUAUUUUUUUCAGUUUUCUUAAUUUUUCGAUAUUUUUACUCACUCUAUCACUCUAUCGUAUGUUUUGUUUUUUACAGUAAAGAAGGCUGGUGUUCUUACUAUUAGUUUUUUUAUAUAUAUAUAAAUUAAAGAUCAUUAAUGGAAUCUGCUAUGGAAAGAAUAUUCAAAUAUUAGAGAAGUGCACAGGGACAAAAUAAUUGCUCACUCCCUGGAAUAAUCAAAUAUUAGUCUAUCUCGAACAUGAAUAGAGAAAGGAAGAAAAGAACACGUCAUGACUUUGAACAGAGAAAGUAAUAAUUGCCCAUUCGCCUUGAAAUUCUAGCUGUACAGCAUUUGGAAUUUCACGAGGCAAAAGAUUCUUAACAAUGAGUUAAAUCUCCCUUUUGAGGUGGUGACCUGACCUGUCGGAAUUGCUUUAUAGACAAGAAUGGAUUCAUGAGUCAUAUUCUACAAGAAACAAGCAAGUCAUUUGACUCACAUAAGAAAGAUGGAAAUAUAUUUCCCCUUUAAUAAAGAGCUAAAAGGGUACGCUAGAAAUUUAAAAUUUUUUAAAAGUACAGUCCAAACAUUGUAUAAUUACCCUCACAAACUUUCAAUAAUAGAUACCAUUUGUUACGCAUAAUUAUGGUAUUUCAAAUUACGCGUGCUUGCUGUGAUUUUCUUCCAUGCACAUAUCUCAAGUAAAUGAAAGCAGGCUUCUGGAACAUGAAGAACUGAGAGGUGCCCGUGCCCUUGCCUUUCAUACAGCGAAGCACCAAUCCAGGUCCGUUCAUGGCUUUUCAGCAAACAAGGAAACCAUUGGCGAUGCUUUUACAGAGUGCUCAAUCACUUUUCUAUUUUUUACAUUAGAAUUUAGAUGGAUACAGAGUGCUCAACCAUCGGGUUAUAAAUUUCAUUUUACUAACAAAACAAUGUUCCCGGGCAACACAUCUCCCCUCGAGUUAUAAAUUUCAUUUUACUUUUUUUUUCGUUACUGACAACGUAUAAAUUUCAAUUACUUAAUUUUUUACUGAAAUUUCAUUAUAACUUAAUAACAAAAUGUAGAUCAUAUAUACUAAGAUUCGCUCCAAUAGAAGCAAUGACCAUGAUGCAGUGACACAUGGAAAAGUUAUACAGUAAUGUAGGUCAUUCUCAGGCUUUUUUUUUAUUUUAUUUUUUUUGUAGUUUUUCUAAUAUACCCAUGACAGGGUAGACUUGUCCUAUAUAGACGAAUCAACUGUUAAAUGUUCCACAAAGAGUAUGGCAGGCCAAAAACACUCACUAUGUUUUGUUAUGUAGGCAUGCAGCUGCUCUUUCCAGGGCUUUCUCUUUGUUGUUUUUAACAAAAAAAGCAGAGAUAUUUACUCAAACCUUCUCAGGCAUUCAUAUCAAACGAACCCUAGCUACGUGUGAAGAAGAUUGAAAGAGAAUGAUCAGUAAGGAUACAUAGAGGAUUUAAAAGCUGUGAAAGCUUGCUCAUGUAGUCGCUGGAUGAAUUAAUCGAGGAGUUUACAAAUAGGCUGGAAUUGCAUCGACACUGAAAUUAACACCUUCAAUUCAAAAAUGAUUUUGACAUUUUGCAGAUAUGGUUCCUUAUCUACAGCUUAGUGAUAUUUAGAGAGAGUUUUCGGCAAAUGCAGCCCACAUUACUAUUCAAUCUCAUGAUGAUGCGUGGCAUCAGAUCGAAUUGUUGAGUUUUCGCGUUGAUAAUCUUCAAAUUUUCUGCAUUUGGACCUAACUGUGAGAUGAAUGGUUUUAUUCGUCAUGACUGUGCAAAAACUUAUUUAAAUCAUCGUUAUUUUCAAAUUAAAGAAAAAUAUUUAUGAUCACAUUUAGUUAAAAGUUACUCUUUAGAAUCAAAUUGAACUAGAUUUUUUAAUUCAUGUCAUCUCAACUAACUUUUAUCAAACGCUUAUAAGAUCAUAGAUCCUUAUGAAUAUAGUAUUUUUUGUAGUUGAAUAAUGGGUUUAAUCAAAUCUCCAUGCUAUUGAUUCAUUUUUCAUGACACAAAAAGGUGAUAGCUUGAUGUAAAAUUCUAACACUUGCAAAAUAGUUUUUUUUUAAUGGAUUUGAAUACCUUCAAAUGCUUAAUUAAGCAAGAGGAAAAUAUAUAAAUAUGCAAAAGAAUAUUAAAUUCUAAUAACAAAAUUAUUUUUUUGUUUUGAUAUGAAAAUAUGUAUUUUAUAAGAAAAUGAUGAGUGUAUGUUGAGAUUGAAAAUUAUAACCCUUAUAUGGAUAGUUUAAGGAGUAUCUAUACCCAAAAACAUUAUCAUUUUCCUUAAGUGAAGGGGUUUGAAUUAUUUCACCAUGAUAGCAUUAAAGAAGAACAAAAAUCUUUCAUAUAUAUAUAUAUAUUAUUAUAUAUUAAAGAGAAAUAUUUCUAACAUAAAUAUUUAAUAAAAUUUAAUACGUAAUAAAAACUCUUGUACACCGAAAAUAUAGAUUGAACAUGAUUCAACUAAAGAACUUGAAUAAAAUAAAAAUAUCAAGAAAUUUGAUACGGGUAGAAGCCACAAGACAAUGCUCAAAGGUAUUAAGCCUAGCAUGGGCCUAAAACCUUUUUUAAAAUGUUCUUCCUGAGUUGUCGUUAAAACAUGCUUGGAUUAACAUGUAAAAUGAUAAGAGAAUAAUAGAAUUUGCUGGAAUGAAAUUAUUAUUGAUUGCAUUGCAUAUUUAUAUAAGAGUAUCUACAUUUAUCUCUUCUACUAUGAAUCCAACACUUGGAAUUCAUUGUCCUAUAAAGAAUUAUUAUUACAGUAGGAAAUCAUGUAUAAAUUAUUCAUUCCUAAUAUAUCUCUAUCAGGAUUCCUAAUACUCCCCUUCAAGUCGAAGAGUGGAUGUCCUACACUCCCAACUUGUGAAUCAUGAAUGAAGACAUCUUUUACUAAGGGUUUGGUGAAGAUGUCUGCCAAUUGAUGGUCAAAAUGAACAUGUCUUGUUAUCAUAGAAUCAUCUUGAAUUUUUUCCUUGAUAGUGACAGUCCAUCUUAAAAUGUCAGGUGCACUCAUGAAACACUAGGUUGGCUACAAUGUGUAAUGCAACCUUGUUAUCAAUGUAGUAAAGCAAGUUCAUGAUGUAAAAGGCCUAAAUCCCUCAACAGACAUCGGAGCCAUGUCAACUCACAACAUGCUCCUGUCAUUGCACGAUACUUUGCCUCUGCAGAGGAGAGUAAGACUGUUUUUUGUCAUUUUGAUCUCCAGGAUAUCAAUAAGGGUCCAAGAAACACACAAUAACCCGUGGUAGACCUCUGAGUUAGUGGGCAACCUGCCCAAUCCGAGUCUGAAUAAGCUCUUAAUUUGUAAUCAGUGUGUGAAGGAAAGAAUAACCCUUGACCAGGAGCUCCUUUCAGAUAUCGGACAACCCGGAAAGCAGCUUCCAUAUGAAGCUUCCGGGGUUGGUGCAUGAAUUUGAGGAACUGCAAGUUCCUCAAUGGUGGAAGUUGUUCACGGUGGUCAACACAUUUCAUUGUAUAUAAUAAUAAUAAUAAUAAUAAAAUAAUAAUAAUGUACUCAAAAAUUUAGAAGUUAUAAAAUAAAGAUUUUUUUAUAUCUUAUAAGAUAAUAAUUCUUAUCAAACAAUUUCUUACCGUCAUAAUCAUUAUAUCAGCCACAAUAAAAACUAUCGGAGCCAGGUUGGCAUAACCUAGAGCAUUCUUGCGUAUUUUCUAAAAGAGAAAGAAAACAUUUUUUCAUGAUUUUUACUUUUUUAUUCUUAAAUAAACAAACAUUCAAAAUUAACUUAAACAUUAGGAUGCAACAACAACUCCAAUUCCAAAACAAAAAAUAACAAAAUAAUAUGAAAGCAAGUAACACUCAUAUUUAUACAUUCUAAAAAGAUAUACCCAUCGCUCUUGCGUGAGCUGCUCCAAGUGAUCUAGUCACCAUCAACCUCCAACAUCUCACUCAAGCAUUAGAAAACAUCUAGGCAUAAAACAAGCCCCAUGACUCACAUAAAAAAAAUAUUUCAGCUUCCAUUGCCCAGAAACCUCCCUCCCUCCCUCAGUUUUUAUGGUUUAAUUCUAUAAUAAACUUCAAGCUAUUAGGAUAAUAUUGAAUUUAUAUUUAAACUAUUUUAAUUAUAAUUAUUCCGAGUCAUCAGAUCAUAUGUUGCUACAACGUAAUUUUUCUAUAGACAAAAUUUAUUUUAUAAUGCCGGUGGGGUAUCUUUUGGAGUGUUCAUGUAGAAAUUUAAGCAGAGUAAUGAAGAGACAUGAGGCAGUGCAAUAGUGAAACAAAGUUAUUCAUUCAUACCUCUUUCUUAUGUUGUACAUGUAGAGUGGGAAAAACUUGCAGCAAGGAAAGACAAUCUUGCGUAUAUUUUCUCCCAUGAUUAUUGCUAAGAUUAUAUGUUAAUAAUAAAUACACAAUCAUAUCUAAACUAGAUAACAAGUAAGUUAUACUUGAUGAGUUGUUGCCAAUGGUUAGGUUUCAGAGAAAGACAUGGCAGCUCCUCCUUUACGGGUAUGCUAUAUAUAUACUUCAUCCAACCAACAAAAGAGAAGUAAUAUAUUUUUCUCUGCAGACAUCUACAGACAAAGUUCUUCUCUGCAGUCAAGCCAAUGUAUGGGAGACCUGUGACCCCUGACUUUUUUUUUUAAUUAAUAUGGUUCGAUUAAUUCUAUCCCAUAAACCUUGAAAUUAAUAACUAUAUAAGCUUUCAAUAAUCUUGAAAAGAUUUAAAUUCAUGAUCAUUAAAGAAUAAACUCAAAAUUUAACUUGUUGAGUUACCCCUCAAGAUUUCUAAUACCCUGACUCUUGUUUACACACAAUGCCGGCGGUGCUAGUUAGGGGUGAUCAUUUUCGAUUUGGUUCGGUUUGAUUUUUAUUAAAAAAAAAGUAACAAAACCAAUUUUUUUUUUAAAAAAACCAAAACUAGUUCAAACCGACCGGUUUUGGUUCGGUUUUUUAGGACAAAAAGCCGGUUUGGCUCGGUUUUCUUGGUUUUGGCUAGGUUUUUUCCGGUUUUGGCUCUGGUUUUUUGAUUUGGCUCGGUUUUUUUGGUUUGGGUCCGGUCCGGUUUGGUUUUUUGGUUUUAGACUUAUAAAACCGAAACCAAACCAACCGAUUUUUUUAAAAUUUUAAUAAGUUUUUUUCACGAUUCAAUUUUUUCAAUUAUUUUUUUUCUAGUUUUUUUAAUUUUUCGAUAUUUUUACUCACUCUAUCGUAUGUUUUGUUUUUUACAGUAAAGAAGACUGGUGUUCUUACUAUUAGUAUUAUAUAUAUUAUAUAUAUAUAUAUAUAUAAAUUAAAGAUCAUUAGUGGAAUCUGCUAUGGAAAGAAUAUUCCGUUAGCAAUUCUAAUUUUUUAGAUUUUUUUAAUUUCGACAACAAUUUUUAAUGCUAGCAAAAUAUUUCAUUGAUAUUUUUAUUGGUAUUAGAAAUCAUUAACGAGAUAAAAAAGUUUAAUGAGCAACUUUUUAAAGAUAAUAUUUCAUUAGUAAUUUCAUUGAUGUUUUCAUUGGUGUUAGAAAUCAUCAAUAAUUUCUAAUAAUAACAAAAUUCUCUCUAAAUACUGAUAUAAUAUUCUUUUAACAUUCCUUAAUUUUGUGCUAGUGUUUAACGUAAAUAACUUCCUUUUGUUUUUCAAUUAAACAAAUUAUCAUACUUUAAAUUGCAUACUGAUAUAUUUUUUUUCUUACUUUAAAAAUUAACUUAAAAACUUACAUGUAGUAUAACAAGAGUUAUUGCACCAAUGAGAACUAAAUACCAUUAUCUUGUAAAAAAAAAAAAAGUAGGUUGCAGUCGAGAAAUAAUUUAUUUCCAUUUUAAUUUUGUAUUUUUGACAAUGUUUUAGGUUUUUUUGGGCUAAUAAAUUAUUAUUUUUUUAAGUUUUAAGGAUGUUGAUUAAUUAUUUUUUUGAUGAAAAUAAUGAAAAUAAAUUUUUAGAUAAAAAGAACAUCCUCUCAAUUUUUAGUCACUUUUACUAGAAUUUAGAUGUGGAAGUUACACGUCAUUUGUUUCUUAAAAAAAUUAGAAAGAUGACAAAUUUGAAAAAAUAAUGAAAAAAGCCUUGAGAUGCAGUGGCAUAGGCUAGCAGACCCGCAUGCUUAGACUUAUUUUUAAAGGUUCCAUCUUGCUAAGCCACAGGACGUGUACCUUGCUUUUAUUAAAAAAAAAUUCCAAUAAUUUUGGUUGUGAUUUCUUAAAUUUUAAUUAAUCAAAUAUUUAUUAGUUAUAUUAUUUAUUAGAUUCUUAAAGUGAUUAAUUAUAUAUUUAGAUAUUAUUUUAGUUAAAGUGAUCAUUUUUUACCAUGUUUUAGAAUAAAAUUAUUUCUGAACGUGCGGUUGAGAUUUUCAAGCUCGGUCUCUAGGCCCCUAGCAAGUCCAAGCUCUUGAAGAAUUGGGGAAUUCAAGUUCGCCAUGAUUGUACUCGCGAGGCAGAAGUAAUUGCAUCAGCCACAGCUUGUUUCGAAUGGAAAAUAUUGGAUGUUGACAAGAAGAAGUAGAAAAUGUGCAAGGAUAACCAAAAGCAGGGAUGAGGAGACAGAGCAGUGUGGCAUGAGAAAUGGCAAAGGUGAAAGUGUCUGGUGAUGGUCUUUACUCUUGCUAUUGAUCAAUUCUUCAUUACAUUAAACACAUUAUACGUUUGCAAAAAACCCACCAAAGACCACACCUCCCAUCUAAACUGCCGUCCUUGACUAUUAUAUUGAUUAGGCUCCACACGGUCGAGACUUGACUAGCUGUGCUUCCACCAUUGGAGAUAAGGUUUACAGGAUCAUAAAGCCUUGCCGUUUUGGCACCUGAUGCCAACAUUAUUGGCCUACAGAAAGACAAGUGGACAUCAAAACUACUAAAGGCCAAUCACCGCCAUGCGAGUAAAGAUAUGUUUCGGUUUGAAUUUUUUUUUUUUUUUAGAUCAAGGGAAUAUAAUGAGUCAUGUAUACAAAUAAAAUUACCGAGAUAACUGAUUUCGUUUGUAAAUCCAUCAAUAAAUUCAUUAAUAAACUGUUAACUUUUUCCUAAUACUAUUUAUCAUGUCAAUUACAAAUGAAAUUAUUGACGAAAUAUUCUAUUAAUAUUUCUUAAAAAACUUUGCAACUGUUUACUUUUUAAUUGCACUAUUAAUUAUUAUUCUUUAUAGAUAAAAUCACUGACGGAUUGAAAAUUCAUCAGUGUUAUUUGGUGGGUUUCUGAAAUUUUUUGAUUAAAUUAAAUAUUACAGACGGAAUCACCGAUAGAUUGAAAAGUCGUAGGUGAUAUUUGGCUAUUUCUAAAAAUUUUAUAUUAAAUUGAAAAUUUAAAUUAACUAUUACAGAAGGAAUAAUUGACAGAAUGAUUAAAAAUAUUAAUAUUUAAUUAUUCAUCGGUAAAACGCCCAAUAAAAAGACUAGAAUCCCUUAUUUCACAAUAGACGUGCCUCUUUUUUCUUCUUCUUUUUUUUUUUUUUUUUUUUUUAAAUCAACAUCUCUUUCUUUCUCUUCUCUCCUCAACUCCUUAUUUAUUUAUUUAAACAAUGCUAACUGGGUUGAGUCCACUGUUCCGGUUGGACCGGGUCCGAUUAAAAGCUAAAAAUGCAUUGAACUGGGUCCAAUCCAGUAAAAUAAAAAUAUUAUUUUUUAUUUUUAAUUGUGUUUUAUUUUAAAAAAUAGUGUUUAACGUUAUUCAAUGACACUACAUAAAUUAUACGGGGAUUGCUUAAUGACGUAGUAUUUACAUAACUUGAUCGUAAUCCCCAUUUUAUUCCUGAUGUUGUUGCGCGCUUAAGAAACUAAGAAAACUGUAGUCCUUGUCGGAUGUAUUUCAUACGCGAUGAAAUUGUAGAUAGUUUAAUGAAACAAUAAAAAAUAUUUUAUAUAAAGUAUUUUUUUAUUUUAUGAUGUAAUAGCAGUAGUUAAAUCUGUAAUAUUUAAAUUAAAAACCAUCAAUAUUAAUAUAUAUUUUUUGAAAUUAUUUUAUAACCUCAAUUUGAAAAGUAUUCUUAACCAAAUACAUUAAACUAUUUUUUAGUUCAACUUUAAUUUUAACCAAACAUAUAUAAAUAUCAAACCAAUCUCAACUAAAAAUACUUUUUAUAAAAUAAUUUUUUUCAAAUCACAACCAUAAAAGCUAUCACAAUACCAAACACACUCCGGGUGCGUUUAUUUUCUAGAAAGUGGUUUUCCAGAAACCACUUUUCAAACUUUAUUGUAUUUGUUUGCCAUUAUGAAAGUUGGUCAACGAAAAACACUUUCCAGUCAAAGAAAAAUUUGGCUUGGUUUCUAGGAAAGUGUUUUCCUUUUAUUUUGGGCGGAAAACACUUUCCAGAAGUUGUGAAAAAUUUAGAAAUGUCAUAUUAUUUACUAAUUAUAUUAAAUUUGGUUCUCAAACUUUUGAUUGUUACAUAUAUUUUGUUUUGAAUAUUUGUUUUUCAAUUUCAUCCCUUAGAAUUGAAUUUUUAUAUAAACUUUGGUUCUUAUUUUUAUUUUGCUUUUCCCUUAUCAUUUUUUAAUUGGAAUUUUUUAUCUAUCAAAUCUGGUCCUCAUUUUUUAUUGUUAUUUUUUUAUUUGAAAUAAUUUAUGAAAUGUUAAUUAUUAUUAUUUUAAUUCUUCAUCUUUUAAUUUUUUUAUUUUUUAGAUUUGAUCUCUAUUAUUUUGAUUAUUAUUUAUUUUAUUUGAGAUAAUUUAUGAAAUUAUAUAUUUUUUUCAAUUUAUUCUCAUUCAACUUUUUAAUUUGUAAGAUUUGUUGUUCAUUAUUUUAAUAAACUUGAAAAAAUAAAAUAUUAAUAAGUUAUUUUCCAGCUUAUUUUCCACGACAUAACCAAAUACUAGAAUGUAUUUUCUAACUUAUUUUUCAUUACAUUACCAAACAUUAAAAAAUAAUUUAUUUUUUAGAAUUUAAUUCCUAAAAAAAAUUACUUUUCAAUAAAUAAACAGGGAUUUAACUAACACCUCCCGAGUCCUAACGGAUAUUAUGGACCCGCAGGGUACAUAUUGCCCCUCAUGAUCUUGCUUUCUUCUUCUAGGGCCCGCAUGUUGAUAUUGACCAUCUUGGGCACUUCCGUUCUCCAUUGCCAGAGACGUUCGAGGCAGUGAAGCUCCCCAUCCCGCAUUAACGGUGGUUCGCAUUGCGUUUUGAAAAUAUUUUAAAAAGAAAUUGAUUUUCUUUUAGAUCAAGGGAAUAUAAUGGGUCAUGUAUACAAACAAAAUUACCGACAUAACUGAUUCGUUUGUAAAAUCCAUCAAUACAUUUAUUAGUAAACUGUUAACUUUUUUCUAACAUUGUUUAUCCUGUUAAUUAUAAAGGAAAUUAUUGACGGAAUAUUUUAUCGGUAUUUUUUAAAGAACUUUGCAACUGUUUACUUUUCAAUUGUACUAUUAAUUAUUAUUUUUUAUAGAUGAAAUCAUUGACGGAUUGAAAAUCCAUCAGUGUUAUUUGACGAGUUUCUGAAAUUUUUUGAUUAAAUUAAAUAUUACAGUCACAGAUGGAAUCACCGACAGAUUGAAAAGUCAUAGGUGAUAUUUGACGGUUUCUGAAAAUUUUGUAUUAAAUUAAAAAUUUAAAUUAACUAUUACAGACGGAAUAAUUAACUGAAUAAUUAAAAAUAUUAAUAUUUAAUUAUUCAUCCGUAAAAUGCCUAAUAAAAAAACUAGAAUUCAUUAUUUCACAAUAGACUUGCCCUUUUUUUCUUCUUCUUUUUUUUUUAAAAAAAAACCAUCAACAUCUCUUUUUUUCUCUUCUCUCCUCAACUCCUUAUUUAUUUAUUUAUUUAAACGCAGCUUUUGAUUUUUGCUUUAAUGCUACAUUUGUUUAUGAGAUUAGUCUGCGUUUGAAGCAAAACGCAGGAGCAACAUGUUUGGUAAUGAAAAAACAUCAUUUACUGUUCAUGGACCCCAUUGUUAUUGGCCUUUGCAACGGAGGAUGAGACAAAGUAGCUCUUCGCUGCUUCUGUAGAGAGUGAACAGUGGAGGGUGACUCCACUAUUCCGGCUGGACUGGGUCCGGUUUAAAGUAUGCAUUAAACCAAGUUCGAUCCAGCAAAAUAAAAAAAUUAUUUUUUAUUUUUUAUUGUGUUUUAUUCAAUGUUUAAUAUUAUUCAAUGACAUUACAUAAACUAUAUGGGGAUUGCUUAAUGACGUAGUAUUUGUAGAAUUUAAUUUUAAUCCCACUUAAACUUAUUCUACUGUACACAUAACCCGAUGCUGCGGAUUAUGUUUUUUAUAAAAAAUAUUAAAAAUUUUAGCUGCAAAGCUAUACUAAAAAAUAUUGAGUUUGGCUCCAACACCUAAUCUAAGAGUAAUAUUUAUAAUGUUAAUAAUAAAAUUAAACUUGCAUGACUUAAGUUUAAGUGAGUCUGGCUAAAAGACCAGACCCAAGAAUAUUGGAUGUGAGUCUGGCUAUAAGAUCGUGUUAUAAAAAUAUGAUAAUUAAAUAGAUUAAUUAAAAAAAUAAAAAAAAAUCAACAGAAAGGAAAAAACUAAUAAAGAAAAAGAAAAAAAUUGAAUUAAUUAGGUUAACCCUUUAAACUAGGUUAUCCCGUAAAACCUGAGAUUCACGUCAUGAAAGUUUGAUAAUUAAAUAGAAAAAAAAAAGACUGGUUUACCCAGAAUUAACUGGGUUAACCCAUCAAACCAAGUUAACCCGUCAAGCCUAGGAUACGUGUUAUGAAAGUAUGAAAGUCUGAUAAUUAAAUAAAAAAAAAAUUGACUUUAACAAACUAAACUAAAUGAAAAAAAUAACUCAUCAAAUCAAGUUAACCUAUCAAACCCGAGAUCCGUAUUAUGAAAAUCUGGUAACUAAAUAAAAAAUUAACAUUAACAAACUAAAUCAAACAAAAAUUCAUUAAAAAAAUUAAAAAGAAAAAAAUAGUUAUUAAUAUAAUGUAAUAUAAUAAUAAUAAUAAUAAUAUAUAAUAAUAAGUAAGUAUAUUAGUAAAAGGCAUGACAUGCCCACACGAUGCCGCGGGCUUGUGGCAUGCUUGUACAUUAUCGUGGAUUUGUGAAAAAAAUCAUAUAAAAAAAUAUAGUUAUCAUCCACAAUAUUUUAAAGAAAAAAACUACAAAGCUAUAUUCUCAACCAGUUCAAUAUUAAAAAAACAAAAUCGACAAAAACAAUUAUAAAAAAACACACAAAAAUGAAAACAAGAAGAUGACAAUUUUGGAAGAAAAAAAAAAAAACAAUAAUAAAAAAAAAGGAAAAAAAAACAUGUGGGGAAAGUUAAAGCUAAAUUUUCAAUCAUCUCAAUAUUAAAAUCAUUUAAAAAACAUUGUAACGAUCUAAAGUGUUUUGUGUAAAAAUAUAUAACUAUAAUUGUUAACCAGCUCAAUAUUAAAAAAAUCAAUAAAGAUAAUUUUAAUAGAAAAUAAUUGGAUGUUGACAAGAAGAAGUAGAAAAUGUGGCAAGAAUAACCAAAAGCAGGGAUGAGGAGACAGCAGUGUUGGAUGAGAAAUGGCAAAGGUGAAAGUCUGGUGAUGGUCUUUACUGUUGCUAUUGAUCAAUUCUUCAUUACAUUAAAUGAAGGACGAAUUUUUUGCUUUUAGAAGGUGUGAUGUGUGCUUUAAACAAAAAACCCACCAUACCUCACAUAUUAAAGCGUGUUUAGUAGUAUGAUAAUAGUUACUUUUUAAAUAAUUUUUUAUGUUGAAAUGUAUAUCAAUGAUGUUUUUUUAUUUUUGUUAAAAAUCAUUUUUAAUAUCAGCAUAUUAAAACGAUCCAAAAAAUAUAAACUGUAUUAAAUUUUAAUAAAAAAAAUAAAAAAAACUUUUGAAUUUUUUAAAAACAUAGGUUGAACCGCGUUUCUAAACACUGCCUACGCUCGACUAUUAUAUUGAUUAGGCUCCACACGGUCGAGACUUGACUAGCUGUGCUUACAAUAAAGCAAUUCAAUUUUCAAAGAAGGAACAUGGCUGUGAUUUGAAGACAAGAUUUGUCUGCCGGUGUGAACCCAAACUUUUGUUCAAAAUGUGAGCCAAAAUCCAAUCUAAAUUAAUCUAGUAUAUCAAAAAGUUGUAUUUUUUUUUGUGGUUGUUAUAAUUCUCUCUCAUCAAUUAAAAAUUUUUAAUCUUUAAUAUUGAAUUUUUAGGUUUAAAAAAGGUAAAAAUAACAAGUAAUCAAUUCUUUUUCAUGUUAAUUAUGGUUUGUUUAUGAAAACAUUAAAAAAAAUAAGAUUUAUAAAGAUUUGAAGUUUAUGUUUUUAAAAUAAAUUCAUGAUUAUUAUAAAUUUGAGUUCAAGUGAUUAAUUUUAGAUGUGUUGUUAGAAAUAAGAAUUUGUGAAUUGAUUUGUUUAAUUAAUUUAUUAAGGGUUAAGAAAUUCGCUUCAACUUUGUUAGAAAAUUGGACAAAAUAAUUUUGAGGUUGAAGAUAAAGAAAUUGUAUUUUGGUCCUUGAUUUAUGAAAAUUACAGUGUAAUUCCUAAACAUUGAAAAAUUAUAAUUUGACCUCUAACUGUAUUUUGGGAUUCUGAGUGGUAUUAUUAUGAGGUUAAGGAUAAUGACUCUCAGUUUAAUAAUUGAUUUGGGAUCUUUUCAAUUUGGGCCUUUAAUUUUGAAAGUUUACAUUUUAGUCCCUGAUCUUUAAAGAAAUGAUAGUUCGGUCCUUGGUUCAUUUCUAGAUAGAAUUGAAAAUGGUUUGUUGGUAAAAUUUCAGUAUGGUUAUGUAUUUACAAUUUGCUCCUCCAAUUUUGGCAAAAUUUUGUUUUGGUUCGUGAUUUCUAAAAAAUAUCGUUUUAGUCCUUAAACUCAUAAGAAUAAACCUGUUUUAUUUUAUGCAUUGAAAUAUUUUAUUUGUUGUUUUGGGUUGUUUUUUAGUAUAUUCUAUAUAUUUUUUUAUAAGCUCCUAACAAUCAUCAAUAAAAUUGCCAUAGCUUGUUUUCGAAUGGAGAAUAAUUGGAUGCUGACAAGAAGUAGAAUAGGUGCAAGGAUAACCAAAAGCAGGGGUGUAAGCAAGAAAUGGCAUGUGUUGAGAAGACAGAGCAGUGUGAGAUGAGAAAUGGCAAAGGUAAAAGUGUUUGGUGAUGAGCUUUUCUUCUGCUAUCGAUCAAUUCUUCAUUACAUUAGUGAUUAAUAAUGUGGUGGUUCAAUUUUAUUAAGAUAUUAAAACUGCUGUCCCUGACUAUAUUGAAUAGGCUCCACACAGUUCAGACUACAUUUCAGACUUGACUAGCUAUGCUUACAAUAAAGCAAUUGAAGUUUCAAAGAAGGAACAUGGCUGUGAUUUGAAGACCGAAUUUGUCUACUUGAAUUGCCUUGUUUGUUAGCAAACGUCUUCUUCUCUAAGCUCAGUUUUUUUUUAUCAGUGUCCAGUGGCCUUCGGUGACCCCAUAACCAUGCAGCCAAGCUGCGCACUGGCCAGACCCUCGGAAGUCGGAAACACCAAUAUCUUCCAGCGCUAGUGAAUGCAAGUUGCCCAAGAUUGUAAAUGCAAGCGCAGAAACAAGUGCACCAGCCAUGUUCUCUUCUGAAGUGAAAAUGGGAACUGACACGGGUAAGAUAAAUGUUUUCCGACUAAGGUUAUUUUUCUUUUCUUUUAUGACAAGGAGAUAAGAUGAAGAAUGAUUCAAUGUCGCAAAAUCGACAAGAUCAAAAGGGUUCUAAAAUUAGAAGUGUAAGAUCAAAUGUAGGAAUUAGUUUACUUCGAAGGCACAACAGUCUUUGGAACAAAAAAAAAAAAAAAACUUGAUUACCCCAGAGACAGGACAACCAAGAACACACCAGUACGGCAUCCAUGGAGCUAUUUAACAUCUUUCUGUAUGCAGCAAGGUGGUCAUGGCCAUACCUGGUUUUGUUUCGAAGUUUUGAACCUCCAGAACCAUAUUUAUUUGAACAUUUAUGUUUACUCAAAUGGAAAAUCUAGACAGCAAACUUUAAUUUACAAUGCACUAGUGAACAGCCCUUCAUAAUCUGGAAAACAAUGUAAAUGCUAUUAUUAAUUGUUUCACCUUACUAACAAUUGACAGUUGCAAUUGAAAAUUUAACAGAAUGCUUAGGAACCUGAUGUUCUAUUUUUAGGGACUCCAAGAUCGAAGAACAGUGCACAGUGAACAUUUCUUUCCCGGAUUUAAUUCAAACCAAUGUGUUGCCAUCCAAUUAAUCUGGUAAUUAAAGAAGAAAGAAGGGUUCUUGAAUAACAAGAACAACAACAGAAGAAAAGAAACAGAGAGAAAGAGAAACUUUUAGUAACAUUCAACACUUAGUAUUUUUUUUUAAAAAACAAAAUUAACAUUCAACUCAAACCAUUAACGUUGGUUUUUUUUUUUUUUUUCCCUGAAUCACAGAAUAUCUUGUCCCAGCUUUCACGUACUAAACCAAGUCUUUACAGCCUGGAACCGAUCUUUACACAGUGUUAAGCCCCACAGCUCGCGGCCCUAUAAGAUUUGAUGCUAGAAAAAUUCAAACUGAAGAUCUGAAGAGAGUAAACCUCCAAGCCCACCAUUAAGUUCCACUAGACUAACCCCUCGAAGUUACCAUUUACAUUGUCUGCUUGCUAUUCAUACAUCAUUCAUGGUCAACUCAAUAUUUCACUAAUUUUCAUUUUAAAAAUAUUGGGAGAUAUGUCAAAUUCAUAUUGAUUAUAAUUUUAGAAAAAAAAAAAAAAAAAAAAGCAGUUAGAAUGAAUUGAUUGAAAAAGCAUCACUUAUUAGUUUCAUAGAUUGUAUUGCAGAAGAUAUUAAAUAAAAACAAAACACAAUACGCCUUCGACACCGAACUGCAAAUUACCUGGGAAUCUGAGCGAACGAAUCUGACGCCCUUGCCAGGAUAUGUCUUCGCCCCACUGAACCGGCAAAGUUCAGUCCUGAAAUCAUCCAGACCAGACAAGUUUAAUGCUCGUCAUGAUAACAUAUUGAAAACCUCAGAUGAGAUCAUUUGCAUAUAAAAAUGCUUCAUUCCAAGCCAUAUAAGUUUGAUGGUUAACAAUGGUGUCUCGAUGAGGUUAUUCGCACGGUCAUGACGAAUAUUCUCAGAGGUACAUCAGAUCCUAAAACCCCUUGGCAGACGCCCAAAAACCCUUUCAAGUGUCACAUAAUUUAUUUUUCUAGAAUUUAAUUUCUAAAAAAAAUUACUUUUCAAUAAAUAAAGAGGGAUUUAACUAACACCUCCCGAGUCCUAACGGAUAUUAUGGACCCGUAGGGUACAUAUUGCCCCUCAUGAUCUUGCUUUCUUCUUUUAGGGCCCGCAUGUUGAUAUUCACCAUCUUGGGCACUUCCGUUCUCCAUUGCCAGAGACGUUCGAGGCAGUGAAGCUCCCCAUCCCGCAUUAACGGUGGUUCUUCCCAUGAUGUUCUUCUAACUUUUUCCAGGUCCUGAGAAAAUAAGCUUGCAAAAAGUGAAGGUUAUAAAAUUGUCAUUCAGUAUCUUCCAGUUGAUGAAUAAUACUUACAUCUCGUCUCGUAAUUAGACGUAAUGUAUAUAACGUGGCAUUAGUUAAUUGGAAUUAAAAUAGAUUGUUUUAAAAAAAUCACUAGCAGAAUGACAUAUAAUAUUUUUAUUAGUUAUAUAAUAAGAUUUCUGAAAAAAAUACUGACAAAAUAAAACAUGUAAUUUUUUUUUGCAUGCUUUUCUGUCAAUAAAUUCAUCGAUAAUAAUAUUUUUUUAUUACAAACAAAUAAAAAUUUUUGAUUAAAGAUUCACUGAUAAGGUAUUUUUAUCUAUAAUUUUGUCAAUAAAUUAAUUACUAAUAAAAUAAUAACACAAAUACUAAUAAAAAAAAAUUCAUUAAUAAAUAUAAAAAUUUUAAUAGUGGAUAGGGGCCUGGUAGAGCUCAUGUCUUGACAAAGUCUAAAAAUGACAAGUGACAAGUUGACAACUUGUCAAAUUCAUAUACAUCUUGGUUGAGUAGCCAAAAAAAAACCAAUAAAUGCUGAUGUAUCAGUUUUAGUAAAAAAAAAACUUAUAACGUAGCUCGCGCUACAUUGCAGGUCAAUUUUUUUAUAUAAAAAAUAUUUAAAAAAGUUAAAAUUUUAAAGUGUUAGGUUUUUUUACAAAGUUAUACUUAAGAGCAUUGGGUCUAUCUAUUACUCCUAAUCCAAAAGUUAUAUUAAUAAUAAUAUUAAACUUGCAUGAUCCAAGUUUAAGUGAGUUUGGUUGCAACAUCAAACCUGAAGCCUUUGAUAUGAGUCUGGUUGCAAGAUUUUAUUAUAAAAAUGUGAUAAUUAAAAAGAAUAAAAAAUUAAUAUCACAGAAUAAAUAAAAAAUUAAUUGGAAAGAAAAAAAACAAUAAAGCAAAGCAUUAUUUCGAUGAAUAGUGCCUUGCAAGGAGGGGUACAGUAAAAUCCCCUCAUGAGAUCACAAUAAUUUAAUGACAAACAAAACAAAUUAUAAAUUUUAAUUCUUAAUCAAAUCGAUAUUAAAAAAAUGAAAUUGAAAGAAAAAAACUACUUAAGAAAAGGAAAAAGAAAAAUCUUAAUUAAUUGGUUUAACCCGUCAAACCUGAGAUUCGUGUCAUAAAAUUGAAAGAAAAAAGAAUGAUGUCUUUUAGUUAUAGUUAAUUACAAUAUUUAAAGAUGAAAUCGGAAGAAAAAACUAAUAAAGUAAAAGAAAAAAAAAUAUGAAUCAACUGGAUUGGCCCACCAAAUCAGGUUAACCCAUCAGACCUGAGAUCGUGUCAUGAGAGUGUGAUAACUAAAUAAAAAAAAAUUAACAUUAAUAAAAUAAAAUGAACAAAAAAAAGAUUAAUUAAAAAGAAAAAAAAGGAAAAAAAAAACCUACAUGAAGAAAAAGAAAAAAAAUCUGAAUUAACUGGGUUAACCCGUCAAACGAGGUUAAUCCGUCAAACCUGGGAUUCGUGUUAUGAAAGUUUGAUAACUAAAUAGAAAAAAACUUAAUAUUAACAAAAUAAAUUUUAAAAAAUAUAAUUAAAAAAAAAAGCAAAAAUACUAAACAAAAAAAAUAUUAAUUUAAAAAAAAAACAAAGAAAGAAAAGUCUGCAUGAAGAAAAAAACUAAUGAAGAAAAAGAAAAAAAAAUCCUAAUUAACUGGGUUAACCCUUCAAACCAAGUUAACUCGUCAAAUCUGGGAUUCGUGCCAUGAAUGUUUGAUAACUGAAUAGAAAAAAAAAAAUUUACGUUUUAACCUAGAAUUAGCUAGGUUAAUUCAUCAAACCCAGAAUCCGUGUCAUGAAAGUUUGAUAGCCAAAUAGAGAAAAUUUAACAUUAACAAACUAAAUUAAAUGAAAAAAUAAUUAAAAAGAAAAAUCAGAAAAAAUUCAGGUUAACGCGUCAAACCCAGGACCCAUGUAAUGAAAUUUUGAUAACUAAAUAAAAAAAAUUUAACAUUAAUAAAAAAAAUUAAACAAAAAAAAUAUUCAUUAAAAAAAACAAAAAAAACAAAACAACUUAAAAAAAACAAAGCAAAAGGCAAAAAAAAAAAACAGCUUAAAAAAGCAAAGCAAGCAAAAAAUAAAAGACAGAUAAGCGUUUCACUGUGGAUUGCAUUCGAAAAAAUUAAUUAAAAAGAAAAAUCAGGAAAAAAAAACCAGAUUAACCCAUCAAAUCCAAAACCUAUAUCAUAAAAAAUUGAUAAUUAAAUAGAAAAAAAAUUAACAUUAACAGAAAAACUCAUUCAUUAAAAAAAACAGCUUAAAAAAACAAAGAAAAGGAAAAAAAUAGUAAAAAAAACAAAGUAAAAACCAAAAAAAUUAAUAAAAAAAAGAAGAAGACAGAUGAGCUUUUUAUGUGGAUUGCUACAGUAAAAAACCGAUCCUUUUAGUAUAUUUCUAAUACCAGCAUUUAGAACCCUAUCGGACAUUCAAUUAAGUUUUAUUUGCGAAAUUGAACAAGCUUUUAAAAGCUAAUUUAAACACAUAAACGCAACAUUAAGGAAAAAAUUAUCAUUUAAUAAUGAUAAAACAUCACAAACAUAACGCAAGAAGUCAAAUGACUUCCUCGAAGCAAAUUUAUCAAACUUGGCCUGGGUUGACAGGUCGACCUGCGACCUGUUUACCCGGGCUUUCAAACUGGAUUGGAAAUUAAUUUUGUUAAACAAAGGUGAUAUGUUCUAUCAAUUAAUUUUUUUAAAUAAAAAACAACUUCGUUUAUUUAUGUUUAUUUAAUUAUUUAUACCUUUUAUAUCUAAACGAGCCUGGACUUAGAUCGAAUCAGAUGACGAGCCUGGUCUGAUAACUUAGCCUUGAAGUUUAUUCUGUUAGAUCAUUAUUGUUUGCUGUGUUAGGCAACAGAUAUCCCUCUAUUCAUACUCAGCUUAAUUUUUCAAUUUCGACUUUUAAAAAUAUGGAGAGAUAUAUGUCAAAUUCCUAUCGGUUCUGAUUUUAAGGAAAAAUAAAAAUUUAUUAAGAAUUAAAAAAAUGCUAUUUUUUAUAUAAUUUGAAAAAAAUAUUUUAAACUUUAUUUUAUAAAGCUAAAAAAUUACUAAAAAAUAUAUUUAAUUUAUAUUCAUGUAUACAAUACUUGUUAAUUUAUUUAAUACUUGUUAAUUUAUUUUUUAACUUUAUUUAAAGCCAACAAUGAUUAAAAAAUAUAUUUAAUUUUUAUAACACUUUUUUAUGUAUUCAUCAAAAUUUUCAUGAAAAAUUAAAUUGAAAAAUCAUGGCUAUGAAAAAACAAAAAUACUCAUUUACUCCCUCAAAUAUGUUUCAUCAGUAAAUCCAUAAUUUUUCUUCGCUGAAUAUCAUUAGAUUUUCAUAAAAAUAUAUUAUUAUAAAAGUGAACAUCUUAGUGAUUUUUUAAAAUUUUAUUAUUAUUUUUAGAGUUCUUAAUAAAAUUUUCUUUAAAUUAGAACCAAUAGAAAUCUAACUCGUGUUCUUCCAUAUCUUUAAAAGACAAAAUUAAUGAAAUAUUACGUUUACUCUGAACAGAGAGAUCUAUACUGCCUAGUAGACAAAAUCAUAGAAACCCAAUUAUAUAAAUUUAAACCAUAAGGAUAUCUUUAUCAAAUAUCAAUAUAUCAGAGAGAUUCAUAGUACCAUCAAACCAAAGUUAUACCUAAACUUGUCAUGCAAUAAAACACGUGCAUAUUCAUACAAUAAAAAUAAUAAAUAGACGUAUUUCUCCCUUUCUAUUACAAAGAUCAUUGCAAUACUUAGUAGAUGCAAACGGAAGGGAUGUGAGCUAUCUUAGGCCAGUCCUCUCCUCGCUCCUUCGAGCACCUUUUCUUCAAAUUUGGACAAUGGUUAAUCAUCAAGUGGCUGAGGUUGCUGAGACUCUGUAGCCCUUCUGGCAAACAUACCAAAUUAGGGCAAUCCUGAAUUUCCAGGCGUGAAAGGGAUAUGAGAUAACCAAUCUGAUUUGGCAAGGAAGUUAAUCCCUUGCAUUCAUAGAGUCUUAGAGAUCGGAGAGAAGUAAGAUGUUGGAUACUCUUUGGCAAUGAAUUCAGCUCUGGACAAAGUUCAAGCUCCAAGAUUUCAAGUGCCGUCAGAUAUUGCACUCCCUCGGACAGAGACACAAAUUUAUCACAAUUUCUAACAGAUAACCUACGAAGAGAAGAUAAGCCGGACAACCCAUUCAUUGGCAGAGUGUAUAAUCUUGUACAACUAUUUAUCUGUAAAACCUCCAAAGAAGUGAGUUUUCGAAGACCUUCCUCUGGCAAGCUUUCAAGUUCAUAACAAUGCUGGAUACUCAAGCUUUUAAGAGCUGAAAGGUUGUCAAAUACCUUAUUUGACAAAGACGAUAGAUUUCUCAUCCCAACCAUACAUAAGGACUCGAGGAGUGUAUGAUUUUGCAAGAACCCAUCUGGAAUCAGCCUCGCAUCAAUCCUUGCAAUAAAAAGGUAUGUGAUAGAAGUAAAUUUCAUAACUGACAUCAGUAACGAAACAUUGCCUUCAGUGAUGUGUAAGCUUUUGACGGAAGGUAUAAUUGGUAUUUCGGUCAACAAGGGGCAAAGAACUACAGAUAAUGCUUUAAGACGAGGAAAACUACACGGAGCCCAUUGCUCUAGUCUCUCCAUUGAAAUAAAUGUCAGGCUCUCCAAAGAUGGGAAUGGAUUUUGCUCAUCUCCAUACACAUGGCUGUCAAUACACUUCACACCAUCCAUUCCAUCUAGUUCAAGAUUCUUGAGGAACUGUAAUUUCCCAAAUGGUGGAAGUUGUUCACAGUUGCCACAUGCUGUUAGCUUCAUCUCUACUAGAUUCGGUAGCAUCAAGUUCAAGUUCAUCAUCCACUUUGGAAAUUUUGAACCCCCAUAUCCAAUUAAUCUCAAUUUCUUCAGAUUUGAAUGAGGUUGAAGCCCAUCAAGGACAUCCUCAUUACUUUCAGCUGAUUGCACACAAGUAAAAGGGCGGCGACCUCCAUUCUCAUUCCAAGAUAAAUUCAGUGAUAGAAGAGUUGUCUUCAACUUCAAAUUGGCACUUCUGGCAUCUGUUAAAUUCUUAACAUUAACAAGAUCUGUGAUGCUUAGUUCACCAGCAAGAUUAUUCAGCCUUUCUAGCUCCCCUAA
rnacentral:lncRNA from 1 species